GGCGAGUGAAGCGGCAACAGCUCAAAUUUGAAAUCUGGCCCCCGGGUCCGAGUUGUAAUUUGUAGAGGAUGCUUUUGGUGCGGUACCUUCCGAGUGCCCUGGAACGGGACGCCAUAGAGGGUGAGAGCCCCGUCUGGUUGGACGCCAAUCCUUUGUAAAGCUCCUUCGACGAGUCGAGUAGUUUGGGAAUGCUGCUCUAAAUGGGAGGUAUAUGUCUUCUAAAGCUAAAUAUUGGCCAGAGACCGAUAGCGCACAAGUAGAGUGAUCGAAAGAUGAAAAGCACUUUGAAAAGAGAGUUAAAAAGUACGUGAAAUUGUUGAAAGGGAAGCGCUCAUGACCAGACUUGGGCUUGGUUGAUCAUCCAGGGUUCUCCCUGGUGCACUCUUCCGGCCCAGGCCAGCAUCAGUUCGCUGUGGGGGACAAAGGCUUCGGGAAUGUGGCUCCCUCGGGAGUGUUAUAGCCCGUUGCGCAAUACCCUGCGGCGGACUGAGGUUCGCGCAUUCGCAAGGAUGCUGGCGUAAUGGUCAUCAGCGACCCGUCUUGAAACACGGACCAAGGAGUCGUCUUCGUAUGCGAGUGUUCGGGUGUCAAACCCCUACGCGGAAUGAAAGUGAACGCAGGUGAGAGCUUCGGCGCAUCAUCGACCGAUCCUGAUGUUCUCGGAUGGAUUUGAGUAAGAGCAUACGGGGCCGGACCCGAAAGAAGGUGAACUAUGCCUGUAUAGGGUGAAGCCAGAGGAAACUCUGGUGGAGGCUCGCAGCGGUUCUGACGUGCAAAUCGAUCGUCAAAUAUGGGCA
rnacentral:rRNA from 1 species